CGGAAGUGGGACAAGUCUGCCGUGAAGCGCGUGGAUCUGUGCUCGCUGACCUUUUUGUGUGUUUGGAAAGAGUUGCAGCUUCGUCCCGCAGCUUCAUCUAAAGGCCGAAGAGUCUAAGGUUCCAGCGACGUGAGUAGGCUUCCAGCUGAUCAUCAGGAGGAGGAGAGUCUGACGGAGCAGCAGAGGAACAUUUUCAGCCUCUA